UAUUAUUUAUUAUUAUUAUUAUCCAUCUUGGGUAAAUUAAACUAGUCUGACUUGCAGUCAUGAUCACUCAAUCAUGACUGGACCAAAAUUGUCACGACACACACAGUUGGAAGAAAAAAAGGUGUAAUGUGAUUAAAAAAAAAAUAGGCCUACAGCUCACGCUAACUUUAAAUACAGUGUUUCCCACAUAGACUUUACUUGGGCGAGUCAUCCUAACAUAUUGGUGACCCAGUUUAGCAUUUUGCUGGGAAACACAGAGAUGUUAUUUGGCAUUACGUUACAGCAUGUGGACAUGGUGGAGAUUUUACAUUAUGAAGGAAAAGUGAACGCAUCAGUGCAGGGAGGGACGGAACUGUGACACGAGACCGUUGACGUUUCAGUCUCUGUUUCAGUGUCUGUUUCAGUGUCUGUUUCAGAACCGUUACACCCCUGCUUGUAGUCUUCUGCUGCUAGUUUUCCUGCCUUUCAAUCAAUGCUCUGUGCAACAGAGUGAAUAAGCAAACAGGAAAUUGGUAAAUAGAGUUCUGGCAAAUCAGUUUCACCAGCUGAACUAUGUUUUGAUAGAUUCUGACGCAUCUUGUCAUCAAGUCACUAGAUGAUGAUCUAAACAUGCAGCUCUCUCAUUAAAUACGUGGCUUAAAUACUUUUCUGUGUGAAUCAGCCUCUGCUCAUGUUUCCCCGACUCUAUUUUAAAUAUUAACAAAUGAUUCCACAAAUAGUCUAAUAACACAUGACUAGUUAAUAACAUCACAUUCACUGUGCAUGAAUUCAUAUUCUAAUUUUGUUAACUAAUGUUCUCGUUCAGACCUCACCUUUAGAGACCGAUCAGGAGAAAUCACAAUUUUAAACUCCACAUCUGUGGUGUGUCCUCAGUAUCUUUAAAACAUUUGAUGCAGUAUCUUCAUGUUGACUAAUCACUACAGAUGUACAGAAGGUCAGUCCAGAAGUUGACAAUAUAUAUUAAUGCAUCUGAUAAUAACGAGAUCAAUAUCUAAUUUUGAGAAAAAAUAUUUGUUGAUCAGAUAUCUAUUAGCCAUCUCUCUGACAAGACAGAUGAGGAGAAAUCGUUGGUGCUUCCAGAUUUUGAUGUUACUGAUCUCUGCAUCAGCUGAUUCUAGGACAAAAAAAAAGUCUACUCUGAUCUACUUGAUGAUGAUCUGAACCAGAAAGAUUACAAAUGGCUCCAAGAUUAUUUCUGUUACCAUGUGAAGUACACUUAGACUCAUGCUGUAUCCUCAGAGGGGAAAUUUCCUGUAGCCACCAGCAACACUGUUAGACUGAUCACUUGAAGCUGAUAUAACAUCUGAAGAUGUUCUGUUGGCUUGGUUCAUUAUGAUAAAGGACAAUGUUUUCAUUAAAUUGUUGGUGUUCUGUCAAACAUCUUGAAUAUCACCCAGCUCUAAGGUGACUAAGUUGUAGCACAGACAUUGCAGAUGUAGAGAUCAGAGACAUUAAAAUCAAGACUCUCCACUAGUUUCUCCUGAUGUGUCUUUAAGGUCGGACUCUGUGGGUCACGAUGUAAACGGCACAUCAGCCUUUUAAAUACUUGGUGAAACUGUGUUCAGACAGACUGUAGCACUGCAGUAACGGAUCACAGAAAUCAGCCAGCUGCUUAGACUGUAAUCUCACUCCCUGCAUAAAUUCCCUAUUUGAAUUUAACUUCAUAAAUGCUAAAUAUAUAUAAUGAUACUUUUGUAUAGGACUGCAACUAACAAUUGUUUCUGUAACUGUUUGUAUUGUUUUCUUAUUACUGUGUUCACAGGUGCAGCUGCAGAGCCGUCCAUCACGAUAGUUAAUAUCACAGAGUUUGGGGUCCUGCUGCAGUGUGAAGUUCGAGGUGCUUUUCCAAAACCUACAGUAGAGUGGCAGGACAGUGCUGGAAACAAACUUCCUGCUGAGGAGCCACAGGUCUCAGAAAGAGAAGGCAGUUUCUACAUCAUCCUCCAAACUACUGUGAAGAAGACCGUCCACUGUGUAGUCGAGCAGGAGGACAUCGGCCAUACGAUCAGUACUAACAUCACUGUGCCAGAGAAACUGUUUGAGGACACAUACAGCAGAGGGGAGGUCAUAGGAUGGUUUUUUAGUGGAUUCUUUUUGGCAGCUCUAACUGUUGCUGCAGUUCUAACUUGGCUGAACUGCUGCAAGAACUUGCUAUAAAGUUCAUCAAAGCACGCUGUUAUAAAGGUGAGUUUAGAUAAUGGAUUGUAUCAACAUAUCCAUGAUGUGCAGACAUCAAUCCCGUUGCAAUGAAUUGAAAGAAGACGC